UACAGAGGUGGCAAGCGUUGUUCGGAAUUACUGGGCGUAAAGGGCGCGUAGGCGGUCUUCUAAGUCUUGUGUGAAAUCCCUCGGCUCAACUGAGGAACUGCACGGGAUACUGGAUGACUUGAGUUCGGGAGAGGGAAGCGGAAUUCCGGGUGUAGCGGUGAAAUGCGUAGAUAUCCGGAGGAACACCGGUGGCGAAGGCGGCUUCCUGGACCGAUUACUGACGCUGAGGCGCGAAAGCUAGGGGAGCGAACAGG
rnacentral:rRNA from 1 species